rnacentral:rRNA from 1 species
UACGUAGGGGGCAAGCGUUGUCCGGAUUUAUUGGGCGUAAAGAGCGUGUAGGCGGCCAUACAGGUCAGCUGUGAAAACUCGAGGCUCAACCUCGAGACGUCGGUUGAAACCGUAUGGCUAGAGUCCGGAAGAGGAGACUGGAAUUCCUGGUGUAGCGGUGGAAUGCUCAGAUAUCAGGAGGAACACCGGUGGCGAAGGCGGGUCUCUGGGCCAUUACUGACGCUGAGGAGCGAAAGCCAGGGGAGCAAACGGG